rnacentral:rRNA from 1 species
UAAUACCAGCACCUCGAGUGAUCAGGACGUUUAUUGGGCCUAAAGCAUCCGUAGCUGGCUUUGCAAGUCUCCGGUUAAAAUCAACCUGCUCAACAGAUUGGCCGCUGGAGAUACUACAAGGCUAGGGAGUGGGAGAGGCAGACGGGUAUUCGGGGGGUAGGGGUAAAAUCCUCUGAUCCUCUGAGGACCACCAGUGGCGAAGGCGGUCUGCCAGAACACGUUCGACAGUGAGGGAUGAAAGCUGGGGGAGCAAACCGGAUUAGAUACCCGGGUAGUCCCCAGCUGUAAACGAUGCAAACUCGGUGAAGCAUUGGCUUAAUGCUAAUGCUGUGCCGCAGGAAGGGGGGGCCUUAAGGUUUGCCGCCUGGGAAGUACGGUCGCAAGAUUGAAACUUAAAUGAAUUGACGGGUCGUG